rnacentral:rRNA from 1 species
GUGGGGAAUAUUGGGCAAUGGGGGAAACCCUGACCCAGCGACGCCGCGUGAGGGAAGAAGGCCUUAGGGUCGUAAACCUCUGUUGUGUGGGAAGAAGAGCGUGACGGUACCACACGAGGAAGUCCCGGCUAACUACGUGCCAGCAGCCGCGGUAAUACGUAGGGGACGAGCGUUGUCCGGAUUUACUGGGCGUAAAGGGCGCGUAGGCGGUCAUUUAAGUCAGCUGUGAAAUGUUUUGGCUUAACCGGAUCAUGCGGUUGAAACUGGAUGACUGGAGUGCUGGAGAGGCAAGUGGAAUUCCCAGUGUAGCGGUGAAAUGCGUAGAUAUUGGGAAGAACACCGGUGGCGAAGGCGACUUGCUGGCCAGCAACUGACGCUGAGGCGCGAAAGCCAGGGGAGCAAACGGGAUUAGAUACCCGUGUAGUCC